rnacentral:rRNA from 1 species
AACGAACGCUGGCGGCAUGCCUAACACAUGCAAGUCGAACGAGACCUUCGGGUCUAGUGGCGCACGGGUGCGUAACACGUGGGAAUUUGCCUCGGGGUAUGGAAUAACUCAGGGAAACUUGAGCUAAUACCAUAUAAUGUCUUCGGACCAAAGAUUUAUCGCCCUGAGAUAAGCCCGCGUAGGAUUAGCUAGUUGGUGGGUAAAGGCCUACCAAGCCGACGAUCCUUAGCUGGUCUGAGAGGAUGAUCAGCCACACUGGGACUGAGACACGGCCCAGACUCCUAC